rnacentral:lncRNA from 1 species
GACAAACCUCAAGUAUGCAAUAAUUUAUCGAACUCGUUUCUUUUCAAGCAUCGGGAAAUUUCUAAAAACUAUUGAAAAUUGGAAAUACAUUUCAAAGAUCAUUAUUUACAAAAAGACUUAUACAUGAAAACAUCAUCUUUGGAAACUAAUUCUGUAAAAUACUAAUAUAUUCAUUUAAAAAAAAAUUAGCCCUACAGAUUGGCAAAAAUUGUACAAACAAAAAGUGUAAAAUAUCAAAUAAACAAAACUAUUUACAUAGAGGGACAAAACUUUAAAAUGGUGCAAUUCCUUUCUAACUCUUUAUGUUUCAAUCGUCAGAUAAUUUUUCAAAUCUAGAGACCUGUCGUAUUUACAAAAAGGGACAAAACUUAUUUGUGCAAUUCUUUUCUGAACUCUUUGUUUUUUAAGCGUUAGAUACGUUUUCAUUACUAAAAAUAUUUU